ACGUAGGUCACAAGCGUUAUCCGGAUUUACUGGGCGUAAAGUGUCCGUAGCCUGAUACAUAAGUCUAUUUUCAAAUACCCCAGCUCAACUGGGGAAAGGGAAUAGAUACUGUGUAUCUGGAAGUUAUUGGAGGUUAGUGGAAUUUCCGGUUGAGCGGUAAAAUGUGUAGAUAUCGGAAAGAACGCCGAAAGCGAAAGCAGCUAACUACAGUAAACUUGACUGUGAUGGACGAAAGCUUGAUUAGCAAACGG
rnacentral:rRNA from 1 species